GACGGACGCUGGCGGCGCGCUUAACACAUGCAAGUCGAACGGAAAGGCCUGCUUUCCCUUGUGGAUUGCGGGUACUCGAGUGGCGAACGGGUGAGUAACACGUGAGUGAUCUGCCCCCAACUUGGGUAUAAGCCUGGGAAACUGGGUCUAAUUCCCGAUAGGACUGCAGGGUGGUGCCUGUGGUGGAAAACGAUUUUCUAGUGGUUGGGGAUGAGCUCGCGGCCUAUCAGCUUGUUGGUGGGGUAAUGGCCUACCAAGGCGGCGACGGGUAGCCGGCCUGAGGAGGUGUACGUGGUCUGUGGGGAUGAGCAGCCGCCCUGGGACUUACACAAGGCAGCGGCGGGGAAGAGAGGCAGAAGGGGGGAAGCCUGGAGCAGGGGGGCAACGUUGGGGAUGACGGGCUGCGGGUGGUAUGCAGCUUUCAGGGGCGUAGAGGCCUCCCAGCUGGGAGGGUGGUGACGGUAGCGGCAGAAGAAGCACCGGCUAACUACGUG
rnacentral:rRNA from 1 species